rnacentral:rRNA from 1 species
AGCGAACGCUGGCGGCGUGCCUAACACAUGCAAGUCGAACGUGAAAAGGGAAACCUGAGUAAAGUGGCGUACGGGUGAGUAACGCGUAGGUAAUCUACCCCAGAAUCUGGAAUAACCUGCCGAAAGGCGGGCUAAUACUGGAUAGAGCGAGGGAACUCGUAAGAGAGUUUUUCGGGAAAGGGAGCCCGCAAGGGCCUUCGUUCUGGGAUGAGCCUGCGUCUCAUUAGCUAGUUGGUAAGGUAACGGCUUACCAAGGCGAUGAUGAGUAGCUGGUCUGAGAGGAUGAUCAGCCACACUGGAACUGAAACACGGUCCAGACUCCUACGGGAGGCAGCAGUGGGGAAUCUUGCGCAAUGGACGAAAGUCUGACGCAGCCACGCUGCGUGAGUGAAGAAGGCCUUCGGGUUGUAAAGCUCUGUCGGAUGGGACGAACAUCUUCAUAGUGAAUAGCUAUGAGGACUGACGGUACCAUCAAAGGAAGCACCGGCUAACUCCGUG